rnacentral:rRNA from 1 species
AACCUCCGCAAUGUGAGAAAUCGCGACGGGGGGAUCCCAAGUGCCAUUCUUAACGGGAUGGCUUUUCAUUAGUGUAAAGAGCUUUUGGAAUAAGAGCUGGGCAAGACCGGUGCCAGCCGCCGCGGUAACACCGGCAGCUCUAGUGGUAACAAUUUUUAUUGGGCCUAAAGCGUCCGUAGCCGGUUUAAUAAGUCUCUGGUGAAAUCCUGUAGCUUAACUGUGGGAAUUGCUGGAGAUACUAUUAGACUUGAGACCGGGAGAGGUUAGAGGUACUCCCAGGGUAGAGGUGAAAUUCUGUAAUCCUGGGAGGACCGCCUGUUGCGAAGGCGUCUAACUGGAACGGUUCUGACGGUGAGGGACGAAAGUUAGGGGCGCGAACCGGAUUAGAUACCCGGGUAGUCCUAACUGUAAACGAUGCGGACUUGGUGUUGGGGUGGCUUUGAGCUGCUCCAGUGCCGAAGGGAAGCUGUUAAGUCCGCCGCUGGGAAGUACGGUCGCAAGACUGAAACUUAAAGGAAUU